AGUGGAUGGGGAGCAACCUAGUUGUGCGUGUGUAAAGGUAGUGCCAAGAAAAGCGAUGAUCAUGUUGAAAAUCAAUUCCCGGUACCCGAAACCGACACAGGUGGGCAAGUAGAGAAUACUAAGGGGCGCGAGGUAACUCUCUCCAAGGAACUCGGCAAAAUGACCCCGUAACUUAGGGAGAAGGGGUGCCACCGAGAGGUGGUCGCAGUGAAGAGGCCCAGGCGACUGUUUAGCAAAAACAUAGGUCUCUGCAAACUCGAAAGAGGAGGUAUAGGGGCUGACGCCUGCCCAGUGCCGGAAGGUUAAAGAAGUUGGUCAGUUUUAGGAUGAAGCUAGCGACUGAAGCCCCGGUGGACGGCGGCCGUAACUAUAACGGUCCUAAGGUAGCGAAAUUCCUUGUCGGGUAAGUUCCGACCCGCACGAAAGGCGUAACGAUCUGGGCGCUGUCUCGGAGAGAGGCUCGGCGAAAUAGGAUUGUCUGUGAAGAUACGGACUACCUGCAUUUGGACAGAAAGACCCUAUGAAGCUUUACUAUAGCUUGGAAUUGUGUUCGGGCUUCCUGUGCGCAGGAUAGGUGGGAGGCGAAGAAGGUAUUCUUGUGGGGAUACUGGAGCCAACGGUGAGAUACCACUCUCAGGAGGCUAGAAUUCUAACUUAAUUAAGGACAGUUUCAGGUGGGUAGUUUGACUGGGGCGGUCGCCUCCAAAAAGGUAACGGAGGCGUACAAAGGUUCCCUCAGACUGGUUGGAAAUCAGUCGCAGAGUGCAAAGGCAGAAGGGAGCUUGACUGCGAGAAGUACAGUUCGAGCAGGGUGGAAACACGGUCUUAGUGAUCCGACGGUGCUGUGUGGAAGGGCCGUCGCUCAACGGAUAAAAGUUACUCUAGGAUAACAGGCUGAUCUCCCCCAAGAGUUCACAUCGACGGGGAGGUUUGGCACCUCGAUGUCGGCUCAUCGCAACCUGGGGCGGAAGUACGUCCCAAGGGUUGGGCUGUUCGCCCAUUAAAGCGGUACGUGAGCUGGGUUCAGAACGUCGUGAGACAGUUCGGUCCAUAUCCGAUGUAGGCGUGAGAAUAUUGAGAGGAGCCUUCCUUAGUACGAGAGGACCGGGAAGGACGCACCGCUGGUGUACCUGUUAUGAUGCCAAUUGUAAACGCAGGGUAGCCAAGUGCGGAGAGGAUAACCGCUGAAAGCAUCUAAGUGGGAAGCCCACCUCAAGAUGAGUAUUCUGGUGUAAGGUCACGGGAAGACGACCCGUAAAUAGGCACGAGGUGGAAGUGCAGAGAUGUAUGAAGCCGAAGUGUACUAAUAGACCGUCGGCUUGACC
rnacentral:rRNA from 1 species